UAUUAGAACCAUUCUGCCUUGCUAAUGCUGCCUACCUUGGGGGCCAAGAAAUGAUGGAGGUGGUGAAGAGAGAUGACGAAACCAUAAAGGAGCAUUUAUGUAAGCUUACAUUUUAUUAUGGUACUAUAGAUCCUUGGUGUCCAAAAGAAUACUAUGAAGACAUUAAGAAGGAUUUUCCAGAAGGAGACAUUCGACUCUGUGAGAAAAACAUACCUCAUGCUUUCAUCACCCAUUUUAACCAGGAAAUGGCAGACAUGAUUGCUGACUCCCUAAAGGAUGACUUGUCCAAAAUGUAAAUUGGCCUGAGGAACAAGCCCCCACUGCCAGUACAUGGAGGCAGUCAGUGUACUAGACUUAGUAGGUAAAUGUUUAAUUUUGAAGACUGAUAUUAGAAAUGAAGAAAGUGAGAACCUUUGUCUUACAAACCAACUCUCCGCUCGCCAUGUUAUAGGCUGAAGUAAACAUUCCAUAGGUUUAACCAUACAUUUUCCAAGACUCAGGGAACACAGUGAUCUACACAGAGUCUUGUGUUUGCACAAGAUGCCCAGUGGCACCAUAUGGUUUAUUUUGGUAGGCAGGAUCUUUGCAGAUGAAAAAAAAAUCUACAUGUACUUGAUUUUAAUUGAGUUACAUUGUAGAAUAGGCUCUUCUGGAGGAAAUUAUGAAAUACCUACUAGAAAAUGUAAAAUAAAUCAGUGAAUGUUAAGAGUAUAGUUAGAUAUGUGAAGUGUAUGAGAUUAUGACAAGGAUACACUCAUGUUCCUGGAGCAGGAAGUGAACCUGGGUCUCCUGUAAGACAGAAGAUGAAGAUGAGCCCAGGCUAACUUAGCACAGAUCUUGGCUGAGAUCAUCAAUGUGACAUCUAAUGUACCUGCACUAGACAGAGAAUAAAGUUCACCAGACAUUACUCUGGUCAGCUAACCAGAUAAAGAAUUGUUGAAGGACCCCAACUGUGCCUCCUGCCACAGGACAACCAGCAAGUUCUAUGCUGAGCCUUAGCCUGCCAGGUUAUAAGCUCCCUGCAGGCUCCUCCUCUCCAGAGCCAGGAUGGAGAGGCACUGGGCUGUCCCAAAGCAGGCUUGGAUGUGCCAACGUACAGUUGCUCCUUCUGUAAUUCUUGCACUAAAACUCCAUUAAAGACCAUCAAUGAGCCAAAUAGUGUGCUAGCCAUUGAGGAUGGAGUUCUUAGCUACUUAAUGAUUCUUUUCUUCUGGAAAUCUUCUAGUGAAUAAUUUUUAAAAGCUUCUUUUAAACUGCUCAGUAAAACAUUGCCAUACAUUAACUCUCCAUUUCUGCAUUAACUUCGUUUGCUGGAAAGAAAUUAUUUUGUUAAUGAACCAAACCCAGCCAUUAAGUUACGUGAAUUCACCUUCUCUAGACACAUUGAGGUAUGGCAGAGAAGACACAUAUUCCCUGGCCUAGAGUGGGCUGACAAUAUUGCUGCCUCCCCUAAAUUGACUCAAUCUUGAGAACCACAUACUGCAGUGACAGUUGAUGAUGGAUCAGAAAUAUUCCUUUUUCUCCUAGAGGAAAUCCCUCAUGGCAUUAUCAUUCCCUAAGGACAAUGAGAUGUCCCUCCGCUCAAAUCCUAAAGCCCCCUGAUGAAAGAUUUGGCUCUGAUUUGCUGCCAACUUAUUGGGAUUAGACUAAAAUGGACAAACAGUGGAAGAAAUCCAUUUUCCAGAAGCACCUCUGCCUAUAUGUCCCAGUCAACCACAUGGAUGGUCUUUGUGAAAGUUUUAACUUCCUGCAGAGUUACCGAGUGCUCAGCGAUUGAGCUUUGACCACACCCGUGUUUGUUCCUAGUCUGUUCCCAGCCAUAAGAAUCUCCACAAGCCCUCUGUGGCUUGUGUGGCCUGAUGUCCAUGGCCACCAAGGGCCUCUCACCAUACGCUUCUCCACUCAACCUUUGGAGAGACACGGACCACCAAAGGCUUGAUUUUUCUUCAUCCUACAUUAUAUUCAAAACAAGCAGGCUGGGUGCCGUAGCUCACACCUGUGAUCCCAGCACUUUGGGAGGAUGAGCUGGGAAGAUCGCUUGAGGCUAGGAGUUUGAGACCAGCCUGUGCAAAAAACGAGACCUCGUGUCUAAAAUAAUUUUU
rnacentral:sRNA from 1 species